rnacentral:rRNA from 1 species
GAUGAACGCUGGCGGCGUGCCUAAUACAUGCAAGUCGAGCGAACAGACGAGGAGCUUGCUCCUCUGACGUUAGCGGCGGACGGGUGAGUAACACGUAGAUAACCUACCUAUAAGACUGGGAUAACUUCGGGAAACCGGAGCUAAUACCGGAUAAUAUAUUGAACCGCAUGGUUCAAUAGUGAAAGACGGUUUUGCUGUCACUUAUAGAUGGAUCCGCGCCGCAGUAGCUAGUUGGUAAGGUAACGGCUUACCAAGGCAACGAUGCGUAGCCGACCUGAGAGGGUGAUCGGCCACACUGGAACUGAGACACGGUCCAGACUCCUACGGGAGGCAGCAGUAGGGAAUCUUCCGCAAUGGGCGAAAGCUUGACGGAGCAACGCCGCGUGAGUGAUGAAGGUCUUCGGAUCGUAAAACUCUGUUAUUAGGGAAGAACAAAUGUGUAAGUAACUAUGCACGUCUUGACGGUACCUAAUCAGAAAGCCACGGCUAACUACGUG